GCAAACCCUCAAUAAAAUUAGCACUUUGAAAGACGGCUUAAUAACCACUACAUACGUACCCGUUCAUUGAAUGGGCUCAAAAACUAGUUUUGUAUUAAAAAAGUCAACCAUCCAAGUUGGAUACAAGCAAGCAACUACACCUUGUAAACAAACGUAAAUGUCAAUUGAAAUUAUUAGUUCUAAUCUCAUUAUAAAAAUAAAAUAAUCGGUCCAAUUAUUGCAAGUGAUACCUAAAACUGGGAUCCAAACAUGUGUAUGACUUUUUUCAUUUGUGCCUCUCUCCGACACUCAAAAAUACCUUAUAAGUUUAUGCAUUCCGAACCCUAAAGAAGUACACCUCUCUUCCUCUAUAGAAAUGAAUACCUCAGUUUAAUUUUAUUUAACAAAGAAAAAAAAAAAUCAUUUUUUUCCGGAACAGAAGAAUCCAAAAAGAGAGGCACGAAAUGGCAGCUUACACUGCACAAUGAAGUCGGACGAGAUUUUUCUUCGAUGUUUAGACGAGGAAGUGAUCGAAGUGUAUGAGUUGGAUGGUCCUUAUAUGUUUCCAGUUAAAGGGAAGCAUUGGAGCCAUCUUGGAAUCAGUAUAGGGUCGAGCAAAAAGUAGGAAGCAUUGAAGAUCGGGGACAAAGAGAUCAGGGGUGCUGAUUUGCAGGCACUGAUCAAAGAUCUUUUCAACUCACGACUCAUUGUUAAUCGCGAGGGACUUUGUUUCCUUGCCACAGCGGGGGUCACAACUGUGAUCUUGGAAGUGGAGUACUACAGGCUGUUUGAUCUCUUUGAUUGGUCCAAGUAUAAAAUCAUUACAUCGCUCAAUACCAGAUGGGCUCGUAGAGACUUUGUGGAUGGUCGUCCCAUGAAUAUUGUAAAGUCAAAUAAUUCAGGGUUUUGCGAUGACAACAGUGAGUACGAGAAAAAACUGAGAAAGAGUGAGAAGAAAUUGGAGAAUGAGAAGCUUAAACAUAAAGAGGAGCUAGAGGAGGCAGAGCGUAAGAAACAGGAAGAAUUGAAGAAGAAAGAAGAUGAGAUAGUGAAAUUGAAAGAGGCGUUGGAGGAAGAGCAUAAAAAGAAGAAAGACGUAAAGAAAAUAGAAGACGAUAUAGAUGAGUUAAAGCGUAAGCAUAAGGAAAAGUUAAAGAGUCUUGGAGGAGGAAAAGCAAGAGGCAUUGAAAAAGAAACAAGCUGAGUUUGAUGAUGCGGAGAAGGAGCUUAAAAUAUAUUCAAUUCUGAGGAGUGGUAUUGAUAAAUGGAAAACUCAAGAAUUUUAUAACAGAAUACUGCUAAAUUUACAGAUAGACAUUCUUCCUACAAAACUUGUAUUUACCCAAACCACUUAUGUUAGGAAAGAUAAUUGGCCCCCAACAAAAGACGACAAACCUAAAUCAACGUAUGUGCCUUUAGCGCCAAUCCAGUCAGAAAUCAAAGAUAUAGAGGUAAGAUAUAGUGAUCCAAAAAUCACAACAGGUUUUGACCGUGACAAUUGGCGAGUUAUUUAUGCCACAGAGGUGAGACCUUAUCCAUUAAGUAAUGGUUUUCAAUUAAGCUAUCAACACAUAGCGUAUUAUGAUGGGAAUAAGUAUCGGACGGACGGCUAUGUUGAUGGCAGCAAUAAUGAAUACAAGGAAUCCAUGUUCUGAUGAACAUAUGCGUAGCUUCUAUUAUUAUGAAAUAUCACAUAUUUUAGGCGUCGGUGUUAGGGUGUGCCUCUUUGCUUCCGUGUUUUAAAAUUAAAUUAACUUUCCUGCUAGAUUGUUGGCGGUUUGAGAAACUGUUUUUUUUUUUCUUUUUCUUGUUUUUGGGUUUGAUUCUUCUCUUGUACUGCUUAUAUCUUUCGUUGGAAUGAUUUUUCGAUGAUAUUCAUACAAAUUUGUUUGUCGUUAAUCUCUAAACAUUUCAUAUUUCCUUUUUGGUAAAUUUAUCCUCUCUAUUUUGCUCGUGAGCAAUUGGAUCCAGUUUCUUCUAAAAGUGGUGGAGAGAGUACAAUGGGUUAACGCAAAUUCUUAUUUACAUGGGGUGUACAAUAAAUAUUGUAUACCGAAGUUAAAGUUAACGUAAAAUGUUUAAAAGUUAACCUUAUAUACUACGUAUGUAAAAGUUAUCUAUUUUUAGUAAUAAAAAAUUUCAUUUUAGUAAAAAAAAAUCUUCAAAAUCACUAAUAAUGUAUAAAAUUAAUCAUUUAAUCCUUUAAAAUGUUUAUCUAUCAACUUCUUUUUUAAUAACACAAAUCUUUUUCUUAUAUUGGCACGCAUCGCAUGCAGAUGAGACUAUCCAAAUAAUGCUUCACCAUGCUUAGAACAUCAAUAAUGGUUGAAGUAAUUUUAUAUACAAAAAGUCUAACAAACUAAACCAAAUUUGUAACAAGCAAGCAAUGAAGCGAGGAGGGCUAGACGACUUUAUAGCUUAUAAAUCAAAAGCCUAGAGAAAUGCACUUCUAGCUGUGAAAGCAAAUACUCUCUUGAAAAUAAUACAUUUUUUUUAUAUAAAUAUACUGUAUAUAAUUUGUGUUGCUCGCUUCUACUGGAGGGGCGCAGUUACCUCAAUUGGUGUUUCAGCUAGUUUUUCCAAGAAAAUGGCGGCUUACGCAAUGCAGUCAGACAAGAUUUUCCUUGGAUGUAUCGACACAGGAGCGAUCGAAGUGUACGAGUUGGAUAGCCCUUACUUAUACCCGGCCUGUAAAAGGGAAGCACUGGAACCAUCUUAGGAUCAGCAUAGGGCCUGGGAAAAAGUAUCAAGCGUUGAAAAUCGGGGCGGAUGAGAUCAAGGGUGCUGAUUUGCAGACACUGAUCAAAGAUCUAUUCAACUCGCGACUAAUUGUUAAUCUCGAGGGACUUUGUUUCUUAGCAACAACAGGGGUCACAACUGUGGCCUUGAAAGUGGAUAUACUAGGAUGCAAUUCGAUGAACGAUGAUUAUGAGGAAAAGCAAGAGUUGAUAGAGAAAUUGAAAGAGAAGUUGGUGGCCGCAGAGUGUAAAAGGCAGCAAGAUGUGAAGAAGAAAGAUGAUGAGAUAGCUGAAUUGAAGCGUGUUGGUGAUCAUGAUCAGCCUACACAGCCAACAACCACACCAGUGCAAGUGCAGCAUAACAAGGCAGGUCUAGCAUACACAGGAAUGCAGCUCUUGUAACUGAUUCUGUUACUUGUCAGCUAGUUUGUCUGUUUGUGACAACUAGGAUAUUUAUGAUUGGCUAGUUGUUUUAUUUCCUGUAAUAUGAUUGGUUGGUACAGCUGUGUACUAGCUUACUAUAUAUAUUAGGAGUAAGCCUCAAUCAAUGAUUAUCACAGAAUAUUUCCUAAAAGCUGUAAUAAGAAAACUUCUCUUUAAUACAAGCUUCUGUGCAGCUCCGUUUAUGGCUGCUUAAGUUUA